UACGUAGGGGGCAAGCGUUGUCCGGAUUUAUUGGGCGUAAAGAGCGUGUAGGCGGCCAUGCAGGUCCGUUGUGAAAACUCGAGGCUCAACCUCGAGACGCCGAUGGAAACCGCAUGGCUAGAGUCCGGAAGAGGAGAGUGGAAUUCCUGGUGUAGCGGUGAGAUGCGCAGAUAUCAGGAAGAACACCCGUGGCUAAGGCGGCUCUCUAGUACGGUACUGACGCUGAGACGCGAAAGCGUGGGGAGCGAACAGG
rnacentral:rRNA from 1 species